ensembl:lncRNA
AUGAAAUUAGACUCAAAAUGAUUAAUAGAUGCACUCAAAAUUAUCCAUGUACUGCAUACAUUUUAUAAAUGUAUCUUACUAACCACAAACAAAUGCCUUUCAAUUUGAGUCUGUGGAAUUCUGGAUUAAAUGAUUGUGCAGCAAUUUGUACAAAUACAGACAUGUUUGUGAAUAAAAAUGUGUCACGGUUGGUAAACCAUGGUCUCGGGUUUGCACUAUGUGGGUGGAGUUUGUGUGUGUCGCUCGUCAGCACUGAUUGUUUCAUGUGGGCGUCUCCGUUGAUUGUUCAUCUGCACCAGCUGUUACUCAUUACCCAAUCCCUACUUAUUGCCCUGUCUUUCGUCUUGUGUUUGUCAGAGCGUUGUAUGAAGUCUCCUGUAUGUUUGCCUGGUUUCUCGUUCCUGUUUUCUCUGUGUGUUCAUCAUCGCUGUUCGUCUGAGCCUGGAACCCCGUCCACUCUUCACCACUGGAUGCAACUACUCACCACACAUACUGUGCCUGUAUUGUGGCGGCUCUGGACAUUUUCUACUCUCCUGCCCAGUAGAAGAGCCAGCCUGGUAGUAAAUUUGAGGCUACUAUCGGAUGGGAUCUCCGCCAGAAAGUCCUUAACAUCAUCCACUCUCCUUCCAGUGAAACUGAGAUGGGCCAACAACACGCACACCUGUCACACCCUUCUGGACUCGGGAGCAGAAGGUAACUUCAUGGACACAACCCUUGCACAACACCUGAACUCCCGAUCACUCCUCUUUCACAUCAGAUCACCGUCAGCACACUCAAUGGCCAGGAACUGCCCUACAUCACUUACACCACUGGACCUAUUACCCUUCUCACCUCCGGCAACCACACUGAGAACAUCCCCUUCCUCCUCAUGGACUUCCCUGUGGCACCCAUCGUCCUUGGUCACCCCUGGUGGAUUGGGGUUCCAACACUAUCACCUCGUGGAGCAAAUGUUGUCAUGAGUCUUGUCUGGUUUCUGCUUGUCCUGCUGUGUCUGUUUCUGUGUUUC